CUGAACUGACCGACGACUUAAACUGGGUUACUAUUACUAGCAUAACCAACGAUGAGUGUAAAAUAACAUACGGAGAUCAAAUUAAGGAUUCUAUGCUUUGUGCUGCUGGGAAUUAUAUGGAAGGAACCUGUAUUGGAGACAUAGGUAGUCCUUUGGUAGAGCUGAUAAGAGCGGGUAAUGGCUGCUUAGCUGGAAUAGCCAGUUUUAUUAGCAGCCAUGGAUGCGAAAGCACUGAUCCUUCAGGAUUCACCAGAAUUUAUCCCUACGUUGCCUGGGUCAGAAAUGUAACAAGCGAGUGAGCAAUACAAAGUAUACAAUUCAUUGUGAUACUGUUCCCUACAAUAAUCUACUCCACUCUGAACUACCUCUACAGAAUUUUGUACCUAUAUACCUAUAUGUUUUUAGUAGUAUUAAAGAUUUUUAGCCUAAAAUAUCAGCAGUGUAAAAAUUAAAUUUCAACUGGUAUUAAAGGAA